UCAACGUUCAAUGGUGGUUCAAAGAUU
rnacentral:sRNA from 1 species